rnacentral:rRNA from 1 species
GACGAACGCUGGCGGCGUGCUUAACACAUGCAAGUCGAACGGAAAGGCCCUGCUUUUGUGGGGUGCUCGAGUGGCGAACGGGUGAGUAACACGUGAGUAACCUGCCCUUGACUUUGGGAUAACUUCAGGAAACUGGGGCUAAUACCGGAUAGGAGCUCCUGCUGCAUGGUGGGGGUUGGAAAGUUUCGGCGGUUGGGGAUGGACUCGCGGCUUAUCAGCUUGUUGGUGGGGUAGUGGCUUACCAAGGCUUUGACGGGUAGCCGGCCUGAGAGGGUGACCGGCACCAUUGGGACUGAGAUACGGCCCAGACUCCUACGGGAGGCAACAGUGGGGAAUAUUGCACAAUGGGCGGAAGCCUGAUGAAGAAACGCCGCGUGCGGGAUGACGGCCUUCGGGUUGUAAACCGCUUUAGCCUGUGACGAAGCGUGAGUGACGGUAAUGGGUAAAGAAGCACCGGCUAACUACGUG